AUAGUCUAAACUAAUAAUAUUUUUUCGAUUUCUAUUAUAUACAAUAUACGUAUAACUAUACAUCUUAAAAUUUUGUCGUGAAUUAUGAAUGAUGCAAAACAGACUUUAAAUCGGCGACUUUAUUUUCUCAGCCGAAAGUGCACACAAGAAGCACCCAAUAUCUAUAAUUAUAUAUAUCUUUGCCUCCUUAAAGUAUGAUCCUUAAAAUAUGAUAGAUCAUUUCGAAUGACGAUACUGCGUUAUAAGAGACGAAAUUUUCCUUUUGUCAUAAGAGCUAAUUAAUGUAUACAUUUGCAACAACAAAUGUCAAAAUAACUGCAUAAAAAGUUUCUUUUGAGAAACUUUUGUUACAACGAGCUAAACUACAAUCUCUUAUCGACAGAACGAUUAAAUCAAAAGAGUUACAAUUGAUAUAUCUUUGUAUGUUUUUCUUCACAGAUAUAGAUUUUGAACUAUAAUCUUUUAGAUUUUCAACUUUGUGAAUUCUGAAUUUUUUAAGUUUCUUUUAUAGAGAGAAAAACGAAUUAUCGAACAAGUUCCCAGUUUCUUCUUUAUGUAUCAUUUUAAUCUAUAUUUCAAUGCACCUCUUUUAUUCGAAAUUUUUAGUUUUAACAAAGCCGUCCAUCCAACGUUCUUCCUCUGAAAUAUAUUUUUAUGCAAGUUCGAAGAACAUUUCUUAUCCUUGUGUUUGCUUUUUUCAUAGCAGAUUUCCUUCGAAUUUGCAUAAUCGAAAAACUCUGAAUGUUAUUAAUAAAGCAUUAUCUUUGAACUCUCUAAUUAAGCAAAAAGCGAUGGAAAACUAUUCGGGUGAACGCGCGAUCCAGGUCCACCGGCGGCAAGAUCAAAGGGAACGAGAAGGUUCAGAAGGCCGAUCGGCGGCAGCCUGAGUUCCUGAAGAGACGAAGGUCCUUGCCGCGUCCAACGAAGCCGUCCCCCGUUGAUCCUCCCACUUCCGCUUCCGUCGUCGCAUCCUCGUCCUAUCCCGCUGUAUCAAGCCAAAGCACCACGUCCGAGGAAACAUCCUCUUCCAGCGAAUCCAGGGUGCGGGAGAUCCAAGCGAUUUCGCAACUAGAGGUGAUCCGCGUUUAAAUCCGUCAUAUUAAAUAGAAGAGAAAUUAGAAUAUUACAUCGUAUAUUUAAAAACAAAAAUAUAAAAUUCCGAUUUUUUUGAAGAUUUAUCAAUAAUUAUGCAGCUGAGGAAAUCGGGAGAAAUUUUUCUCGUAUUUUUCACUCGAAAACGCAAAAUUUCCAUUGUUUCCAUCACGAAAUCAUCUGUAGACUUUUUUUAUGCCGCUUAUCCUGCUCCGAUAAAACCAUCCUCAAUUUUGCUGUGGAAUUUAACUAUUUUUAGCUGUUUUACAGGAAAUUUGACUUAUUUCGAUAAUUGAAACGAUAUUAUAUCGCAAUUUGAAUUUGAGUAAUGUAUGAGCAGAAAUUCGCAUCAAAGAUCAUCUUAUUCAGAAGUUGCGGUUUUUUUAUGUGUAAAAUAAAAUUUUAAGACACUUCAAACAUAGAAGACGAAUUAAAUGAUCAGUUUAAAAAU